rnacentral:rRNA from 1 species
GGGGAAUUUUGGACAAUGGGCGAAAGCCUGAUCCAGCCAUGCCGCGUGAGUGAAGAAGGCCUUCGGGUUGUAAAGCUCUUUCAGUCGGAAAGAAACGAUUGUGACUAAUACUCACAAUUAAUGACGGUACCGACAGAAGAAGCACCGGCUAACUACGUGCCAGCAGCCGCGGUAAUACGUAGGGUGCGAGCGUUAAUCGGAAUUACUGGGCGUAAAGGGUGCGCAGGCGGUCUUGCAAGUCAGAUGUGAAAUCCCCGGGCUUAACCUGGGAAUUGCGUUUGAAACUGCAAGGCUAGAGUGCAGCAGAGGGGAGUGGAAUUCCACGUGUAGCAGUGAAAUGCGUAGAGAUGUGGAAGAACACCGAUGGCGAAGGCAGCUCCCUGGGCUGACACUGACGCUCAUGCACGAAAGCGUGGGGAGCAAAC